GGUUGAUUAGUGUAGCGGUUAUCACUCUCGGUUCUGACCGAAGACUCCGAGCAACUUGGGUUCGAAUCCCAAAUCGACCU
rfam:Calocera cornea HHB12733 unplaced genomic scaffold CALCOscaffold_180, whole genome shotgun sequence.